rnacentral:lncRNA from 1 species
UUCCAGAGUCAGCUAAUUUCAUCACACCAAGUGAUUACACCACCAGCAAAUCGCUGUGGAAUGAUUAUUUCGAGAUUUUAGCAUUAAAAUCAAUUCAAGAAACUUAAGUACACAGAGCUUAGCCAUUCGGUUAUCCGGGAUUCGUAUCAAGUAUCCGGUAUCUAUCUCCGUGCGGUUUUCUCUCUUUAAAGCAACCUGAAACCUUCAUCUUAAAAUUGAAUGGCACUUCAACAACUUUGACACUUCCUCCUGACCUGACCGCUGCCGAUCGCUGGAUUUAUGCAAUUAAUCUUAGAUCCAUCGUCUGAGUCACUUUAGGUACGUUUCUAGAAUCCCACAUGCAUAAGAGUAUAUUCUGUAGUAUGCAACGUUAUUGAGCUGGUGGAAGGUGAUGAGCUUCUACGGGGCACGCGCUUGUUCCGGUAUCGUUAUCAGUCGGGCGAUGGGGGGGUUAAGGGAAGGAUCCGCUGCUCUAUCCGCUCGUCUAUAUACAUAAAGUUAUUAAAAUUCGCGUGCGAUGAACAAGUCGGUUUAUGAAACAAUAGUGAAAAGAAACAGACAGAACAGAGACAAAACUCCUAGCUUCCAGACCUUUAUUUUGUGGCGCAAGAUGGAAAUGCGGCCACGAAUACCCUCCCUUCCAUGAUCGCUAUAAUCCGAUAAAGUUAUACGGCGAUCCCAAAAAAAAGGUCUAUGCCGCAAUACCUCUGCCUACGUUCCCUACACGACGCAUGACCCCCUCAAGUUAAGCGCAGUUAGCAGGAGUUCAUAUUAACGCUUAUAGCUAAAUUUAUUCAACAUCGCAAAACACAUCCAAAAGUAUCGAUUUUACACUAGAUUUUGAAACGACUUAUGUCGAUUUACCCAAAUAAAAAAAAAGGAAAAUAAAAUAAAGUAGGAAAGAAAAUUAUAAAAAUAUAUCAAAGAAAAAGUAAAUGUAUGUAUGAAUAUAAUAGGUGAAAUGUAACAUUAAAUUAAGAUACGAUUAUUGAAUAUGGAAUAUAAAUGAAUGGGACUAAAUAUAAUAAUGAAAAGCAUAUGUUCAAAAAAAAAGAAAAGAAGGAAAACAAAAAAAAUAUUUUUUUUUUUGUUGGCUAGUGUACUUUUCGUUUUAGUUUCUCCAUGUAAGCAACUGCAUGGAAUGCAUGGCGUGCACAAAUUACAAUAGCAGCAAAAGCAACAAAGCUCUGGCGCUAGUGCAUAAACUUUUAUGCGCUGGUCGGUUCGUCUAGCGGGAAGAACGCACCAAAAGGGAACAAAAAAAAUUUGAUCUUUUAUCACUCACAGUUUGGUAUGCAUGUAUGUAUGCUUACAGUACUCCCUCGCUGAAAGGCCUUUCGCUGGGGUUUUGAAGAAGCUGUGGAAUAUAUUAAUUAUGGUUCCCUGUUGGCUUUGGCCGACUGCACGUUAUAGUUCAAUAUUUUUUUUUUCUCUUACAAACUUCUUUUUCCUUUCUUUCUUCUUUCACUAAUGUCACAUAAUUAAGGGGGAAUUAAAGGUCGUUAAAUCAAAUAGAAUAUAAUAAUAGAAAAGAGUAUUAGCAUUAACAAAAUUUAAAUUUAAUUAAUUAUUAAAAUAAAAGACAGUGCUUUAGGCUUUGAUUGCAGCCUAAGAUAUAAUGGUGGCCCUCUUAGCGGUACGACACUGUCGGCUGUGGCGCCUGCGCAGAGGUUACUGCAAGGUUACGUCAUGGUCAUUGUGAAGUUACAUCAUGGCUAUGGUGUUACAUAGGUUCUGGAGCCGGGCUUCCACCGGUCUCCCAAGAAAAAUUCCCCACCCCUCAGCGUAUUGCCAACAAAACGUCAAUGCGCUGNCACCUGCAUGGAAUGCAUGGCGUGCACAGAAUACGAUGGCAGCGAAAGCAACAAAGCUCUGGUGCUAGUACAUAAACUUUUAUGCGCGGGUCGCUUCGUCUAGCGGGACGAACGCACCAAAAGGGAACAAAAAAAAUUUUAUCUUUUAUCACUCACAGUUUGGUAUGCAUGUAUGUAUGCUUACAGUACUCCCUCGCUGAAAGGCCUUUCGCUGGGGUUUUGAAGAAGCUGUGGAAUAUAUUAAUUAUGGUUCCCUGUUGGCUUUGGCCGACUGCACGUUAUAGUUCAAUAUUUUUUUUUCUUUUACAAACUUCUUUUUCCUUUCUUUCUUCUUUCACUAAUGUCACAUAAUUAAGGGGGGAAUUAAAGGUCGUUAAAUCAAAUAGAAUAUAAUAAUAGAAAAGAGUAUUAGCAUUAACAAAAUUUAAAUUUAAUUAAUUAUUCAAAUAAAAGACAGUGCUUUAGGCUUUGAUUGCAGCCUAAGAUAUAAUGGUGGCCCUCUUAGCGGUACGACACUGUCGGCUGUGGCGCCUGCGCAGAGGUUACUGCAAGGUUACGUCAUGGUCAUUGUGAAGUUACAUCAUGGCUAUGGUGUUACAUAGGUUCUGGAGCCGGGCUUCCACCGGUCUCCCAAGAAAAAUUCCCCACCCCUCAGCGUAUUGCCAACAAAACGUCAAUGCGCUGCUGCUCUGGCUGAGUGUGGGGGGAAAGCGUAGCGAAGCCCAAUCUUUCCGGGAUUUCCGUGGAUAAUUAUAUUUGUCUUCGGUCGUGGAUGGCGUGGAUUGAACGCCAGUCCAAAAAGUUUGGGAUUGCGUGGAUUGCACGCUCGCCCAAAAACGUUGGGAUGGCUCUAGGCCAGGUGAAAUUUAAAUUCACUGAUAUUUAUAUUCACUGCACGGCGUUCGGUUUUUAACUUUUUACUUUUUCACACACACGUGGUUGGUCGAAAAAUUAACUCACUAUCGGACGGGUCACGAACCGAUCAGAAUUUUAGAUAGACGAAAAGAAGAAUUUUUCUGGGGGCUCGUCCCGUUUAAAUGCGAUCGGAAGUGCUAAAACCGUGUUCUAAAAGCUUAUGUUGACAGCUGUCAUCAACGAAAGCUUCACCCAAUCAGCUGAUUUAACAGCUAAGCUUUGCUGAGCUAAGCUUUGAUUCUGUCAGCAUAAUUUAUCUAACUUUAUCGCAUGCGAUAAUAUCAUUCGCUGCUUGUAAUUAUUUUGUGUUCAGCUGCAACUCCCAGCGCCACUACAAUUCUUAUCUGAUGGAGAGAAUAGCACCGCAGACAGACUGUGUCAAGUUGUCGUACUUUCUCAACUGAUUUGGAAAUACAAAACUGAACACCUUUGGCGGGGCCUUAGCAAAGAUUGUGAAUCGCCCGCGAUUGAUUGUUAUUAAAAAACUAUAAAUUUCUGUCAUAUACUUAUCUACAGAUUGGACUCAUUUUUUAUUUUUAGGAUGGCAAUAAUACUUGUUUUACUCUUAACUACUUUGGUGGUAGCUGCUGGAGCAAAAUAUUACAAAAGGGCUGACGAGUGGACGGAUACGAAAUGUGGCUGCCCGAUUAAAAUCAGCUUCGAUCUCCAUGUAAAUGCUGAUUGCUCAGAUCUGCCAAGACUGGACUUUGAAUGUCUGGCAGAGUUGCAGCCACACGCGCUGGAACUAUCUGGCAAUGGUUUGGAGGAAGUUUCAUCAAACCUCAAUAUGACGGGGUUUGAAAACCUAAAGCACCUCGAUCUGUCCGAAAACAAGAUCAAAAGGCUCUCCAGCUGGAACUUUGGAUCAAUGGAUCAAUCUCUCAGACGUGGUGUAAUUUGUGAAGAAAGGGAAUCGCUGCCAAUCGUAACAUAUCUAAUUGUAACACCUAAAACUAUGUGCUCAUGUACAUAUACAUAUUUUUAUUCGCACAUUCUACCGCACGGCAGCGGCCUCUUCUCUCCGUCUAGCUGCUCUCUCGCGCUCUUACUAUUAGUAAUUUCACCAUGGGCUUAGCCGCGCCCCGAACCAUGGGGAAUUUACAAACUGUAAAUUGCUGUGGGAGGACCAAUAACUUAUCACCUUCUCGACGUUAUUAUUUAUCUCAACAGCUAUUGUAACAGCUAGCUUAAUACAAGUAUUGAAUAAAUGCAGCGAACUCA